rnacentral:rRNA from 1 species
GACGUAGGGGGCCAGCGUUGCUCGGAAUUACUGGGCGUAAAGGGCGCGUAGGCGGUCAGCACAAGUCAGUUGUGAAAUCUCCGGGCUUAACUCGGAAAGGUCAACUGAUACUGUGCGACUAGAGUGCGGAAGGGGCAACUGGAAUUCUUGGUGUAGCGGUGAAAUGCGUAGAUAUCAAGAGGAACACCUGCGGCGAAGGCGGGUUGCUGGGCCGACACUGACGCUGAGGCGCGAAAGCCAGGGGAGCGAACGGG